UUCUCUUAGUCUCCUUCCCAGCUUUCUCAGCUUCUGAGGCCAGCUGUUUGCACUCAUGGAAACAGGCAACUGGUCUAUUCUUAAUUUAAAGAGGAAUGGCAGCCUCUUUGGGAGGCUUCUAAGGAUUACAGAAUUUAAAUGAAAAGUAUUGGAUUUUUGUGUGAAUAGGGUUACUGUCAACAAUAACAACAGCAACAACAACGUUGAUAGCCGAGGUGAAAAGAUAAAUCAGCUUCUAUCAUCAAUAAGUUUCAUCAUCAUAAAGAAAAAUUCUCCCUGUCUGUGUCUGCAAAUGCAUGCUACCACUAUUUCUUUCCAGUAUAGUCAUUUUUUUCUCUUUUUCUUUCUGAAAAUAUUGCCACUCUUCUGUAUAUUUUGAAGAUCUCAGUGUGCCUUACAAUUAAAAUAAAUGAA
rnacentral:lncRNA from 11 species